UACGAAGGGGGCUAGCGUUGCUCGGAAUCACUGGGCGUAAAGGGCGCGUAGGCGGCUAUUCAAGUCGGAGGUGAAAGCCCAGGGCUCAACCCUGGAAUUGCCUUCGAUACUGUCUGGCUAGAGACCGGAAGAGGUAAGUGGAACUGCGAGUGUAGAGGUGAAAUUCGUAGAUAUUCGCAAGAACACCAGUGGCGAAGGCGGCUUACUGGUCCGGUUCUGACGCUGAGGCGCGAAAGCGUGGGGAGCAAACAGG
rnacentral:rRNA from 1 species